AAACGAAUGGUGGCAUGAGGGGAGAAGGAAUGAUCGUCCCCCUCCCGACGUGGCUCUUAACAUGUUAAGGACACGGUGUAACAGACAGUUUCAGCCAGAACACAGCAAGAGAAUCAGAUGGAAUAUCAUAUAUCCAGCAUGUAAUGUGUUAUGAAAGUAUCAGCUGAAGACCAGGUCACCGCUCUGCAGAUCUCCAGGAGAGGAACCCCA